AAAGAGGCGGCGUGCUACCAUGCAAGUCGGACGCGAAAGCGGGCUUCGGCUCGUGAGUAGAGUGGCGGACGGGUGAGUAACACGUGGGUGACCUGCCCGAUGGAGGGGGAUAACUUUUCGAAAGGGAAGCUAAUACCGCAUGAGCUCCUGGAAGCGAUUUUAGGAGGAAAGCCGAAAGGCGCCAUUGGAGGGGCCCGCGCUCGAUUAGCUAGUUGGUGAGGUAAGGGCUCACCAAGGCGACGAUCGAUAGCCGGUCUGAGAGGACGGACGGCCACACUGGAACUGAGACACGGUCCAGACUCCUACGGGAGGCAGCAGUGGGGAAUUUUGCGCAAUGGGCGACAGCCUGACGCAGCAACGCCGCGUGGAGGAUGAAGGUUUUCGGAUCGUAAACUCCUGUCCCCAGGGAAGAAAACAAUGACGGUACCUGGGGAGGAAGCCCCGGCUAACUCCGUGCCAGCAGCCGCGGUAAUACGGGGGGGGCAAGCGUUGUUCGGAAUUACUGGGCGUAAAGGGCGCGUAGGCGGCCUGGGAAGUUCUGGGUGAAAGCCCCCGGCUCAACCGAGGAAGUGCCUGGAAAACCACUGGGCUGGAGUGCUGGAGAGGGAAGCGGAAUUCCUGGUGUAGCGGUGAAAUGCGUAGAGAUCAGGAGGAACAUCGGCGGCGAAGGCGGCUUCCUGGACAGACACUGACGCUGAGGCGCGAAAGCCAGGGGAGCAAACAGGAUUAGAUACCCUGGUAGUCCUGGCUGUAAACGAUGACGACUUGGUGUGGGGGGUAGCAAAGUCCCUCCGUGCCGGCGAUAACUCGUUAAGUCGUCCGCCUGGGGAGUACGGCCGCAAGGCUGAAACUCAAAGGAAUUGACGG
rnacentral:rRNA from 1 species